rnacentral:rRNA from 1 species
CCUACGGGCGGUAGCAGUGGGGAAUAUUGGGCAAUGGGCGGAAGCCUGACCCAGCAACGCCGCGUGAGUGAAGAAGGCUUUCGGUUUGUAAACUUCUUUUCUGAGGGACGAAGGAAGUGACGGUACCACAGGAAUAACCCACGGCUAACUACGUGCCAGCAGCAGCGGUAAUUAGUAGGGGGCAAGCGUUAUCAGGAUUUAGUGGGGGGAAAUGGCGUGUAGGCGGGGAAGCAAGGCAGAUGUGAAAACGCAGGGGUCAAACAUGAGCCUGCAUUUGAAACUGUUUUUCUUGAGUGCAGGAGGGGAAAGCGGAAUUCCGUGUGGAGCGGUGAAAUGCGGAGAUAGACGGAGGAACACCAGUGGCGAAGGCGGAUUGCUGGACAGUAACUGACGCUGAGGCGCGAAAGCGUGGGGAGCAAACAGGAUUAGAUACCCCAGUAGUC